rnacentral:rRNA from 1 species
GAAUUAAGCAUAUCAAUAAGCGGAGGAAAAGAAACUAACAAGGAUUCCCCUAGUAACUGCGAGUGAAGUGGGAAAAGCUCAAAUUUAAAAUCUGGCAGUCUUUGGCUGUCCGAGUUGUAAUCUAGAGAAGUAAUGCCCGCGCUGGACCAUGUACAAGUCUCCUGGGAUGGAGCAUCAUAGAGGGUGAGAAUCCCGUCUCUGACAUGGACUACCAGGGCUUUGUGGUAUGCUCUCAAAGAGUCGAGUUGUUUGGGAAUGCAGCUCAAAAUGGGUGGUAAAUUCCAUCUAAAGCUAAAUAUUGGCGAGAGACCGAUAGCGAACAAGUACCGUGAGGGAAAGAUGAAAAGAACUUUGGAAAGAGAGUUAAACAGUACGUGAAAUUGCUGAAAGGGAAACACUUGAAGUCAGUCAUGUUGGCCAGGGAUCAGCCUCGCUUUUGCGUGGUGUACUUUCUGGUUGAUGGGUCAGCAUCAAUUUUGACUGCUGGAAAAAGGCUUGGGGAAUGUGGCAGCUUCGGCUGUGUUAUAGCCCCUGGUCACAUACAGUGGUUGGGAUUGAGGAACUCAGCACGCCACAAGGCCGGGUUACGACCACGUU